rnacentral:antisense_RNA from 1 species
AGCUAGCACUUGUCUCCUUUCCCUAGUAAAGACUGUUGACUCUCCUUAUCGCUGCAGGAGAAAGCCCGAACCUGGCGCCCGGAAGUGAUGUCAUCGGAACUGUGCAAGGUCCCUUCCAGAGCUGGCUGCUGUUUCGCUAGCGAGCGGCAUGCUUAGUGAAGAAAAGCUUAAAGGCCGUCUUUGCCCAAAAUGCUCUCUGUGCGCGCCUGCAUUUCCCCCAGAUUUGCAGGUGAUGAGAGUUCUGUAAAAUUACACAGCUAGUGACUGAUCCAGCGGAGGCCGAAUACAGAUGGAGUCUCACUCUGUCACCAGGCUGGAGUGCAGUGCUGCCAUCUCAGCUCACUGCAACCUCCACCUCCGGGGUUCAAGCAAUUCUCCGGCCUCAGCCUUCUGAGUAGCUGGGACUAUGGGCUUGAAAUUGGUUUAUCAGGUCUGGAAGUGACUGGACUCAGGAGUACUGAGUUACCCAUCACAAAUUGCUAAUAAAAUGCUGUGUAAAAGCCAUGAC